UUCUUGAACCUUUUUGGGGCCUGCUUAAAGUUUUCUUUACAUUGUUGAACGAGUCUCUGUGUUGUCAAUCCCCGACACCCUCCGCACGUUCUCAGACACAGGCUGCGCGGCAGACUCGACAAGGAAGUGUAACAGUCAACUAAACUUGAUGGAUAGAAAGACAACACAUCACAUACCUUCUCUCAUUGAGUUUUGUUAAAAAUAGUUUAUUAACAUGUAAAUGUCAUGUGCACAUUAGAGAAAACAGUCCUGAAUAAGCCUGGAGAUUACAUGGCAAAGAGAGUCUGCUUCCAGCUCUAAUUUCCAUCAUAGAUCAUAACAAAGAAAGCCUGCUGUGAAGGAAGUUUCUGUUUCUUAAAAAUGUCUAACAUGUGGUCAGCAAAGCACCUUGAAAAAGAUCGGUUUGCUGUGUGUAUGGGAGUCUAUGCUUUUGUCCUGCUUGAGUCUCUGCAGACCUAGUUAGUAAUUUCCUCAGAACACAGAGGGAGAUUUCCUUAUGAAUGGAAGUAGCCUUAAUGAAUAUGCAUUUGUGUUGUAUGGUAUUUUUGCUCUUUGGGGAGCCUACCACCCAGCACUCGAAUCAAUGACACAUAGAGUCUUAUUAUAUGUCAAUGCCCGGCCUUAUUUUGACUAGCUUCCUGCCAGCUUUUAAUUUACAUUAUCCAGUGUACCUUUCUUUCUUUCUUUCUUUCUUUCUUUCUUUCUUUCUUUCUUUCUUUCUUUCUUUCUUUUUUUGACAGAAAAGGGGAAACGUUGUAGAAUAUUGUUGUAAAGUGUGUUGCUUUUAUUUAUGUUGCAGUUGUUUAACUCUGUGAAGCUGUGUUACUUUGUGUGCCUAAAACACCUGUGGUCUAAUAAAGAACUUAACAGACAAUAGAGAGGCAGGAGAAAGGAUAAAUAGAAGGAGAAAUCUGGGAGAAAAAAAAGGAGCCAGAGAGGGACUAGGCAGGGGGCAUUCACCCUGCUACACACCUAGCCACAGAAUAAGAGUGAAAGUAAGAGUAUAGAAGUAAGAAAAGUAGCCGGGCGGUGGUGACGCACGCCUGUAAUCCCAGCACUCGGGAGGCAGAGGCAGGCAGAUCUCUGUGAGUUUGAGACCAGCCUGGUCUACCGAGCGAGUUCCAGGACAUGGUCCAAAAAACAAUACAGAGAAACCCUGUCUCGAAAAACCAAAAAAAAAAAGUAAGAAAAGAAUAAGCCCAGAAAACAAAUGUAGAUGGCAAUAAUUUAAGGAAAGCUAGCAACAGACCAGCCAAGAUAGGCCUAGCAUUUAUAAUUAAGAAAAUAAUAUGACUCUAUGUGUUUAUUUGGGAGAUAUAACAACCAAGAGUAUUUUGGCAUACCAGCAUGGGCCUCAAAUUUAUAUAGGGCAGAGAAAGCUUGAAAAAAAGGAUAGGGCUCCUUUAAGAGUUUCUGCCUGCUGGGGAGCCCUCAAGCAACCAGUAUGUGAAGUAGGAACAAAAAUCUAAGUAAAAAACGCCUGCCAAAGCAGUAUCGUUCUAGAGCUCUAGGGAGGCUGAGUACAGUUCUUGGUCACAAACUUCCAACCUGACUAUGUGCUUUAGGUUUUGCUUUCACAGCUCAAGAAGUGGAUAAACCCAGCCACCGGAGCUUCGGACACACGGCCCAGCGGUUUAGAGUUUGUUCUUGCAGUCAAAAGGGCUAAAAGAUACACAAUAAAAGGGUUUUUCAUGGCAGUGACACACAUCUGCUGCUGACAGCACCACUCUACUCAGAGAGGAUGGGCACGGAAGAAACUCCUUCUGGAGUUCACUUUCUUUGUGGAAAGGCUAGCAACUGGGCAAAGAAACUGCUGCUGCCAAUGUGCUGUAAAGAAUGGACAUGCAGGACUCACAGCAAAAACCAUUGAACUUUGCUGAAACAAAGCAGGAGAGUCCUUCAAAAUUCCUGCUUCACUGAAGGGUCUGACAGACAUUUUGCCAGACACAAGGGAAAGUAACUAAUGAACUUUGCCAAAACAAGACAGUACAGUCCAAAAUUCCUGCUUCAUAAAAGGUCUGCCAGCUACUUUAGGCAUGUAGGGUUGAAGGUGGAUGUCCCAGAAUUGCAGAGGUACUCUUAGGUGACUGUCCAGGUAGCCUAAUGUCUCCGUUGUUAGAUAAUAUUACAUCCUUCUGGGCCUUUGAUGGAGGUGAAGACUAGAUAGUUAUAGUUGUUGUUUUUUUCUUAGUUAUGAUAGAAAGAAAUUUUGUAUAAAACUUUGGAUUCACUAAGAUAGGAUAGAUAAUGGAUUAUUUUCCUCUAAAUUUCCUAAAUAUAAAUGAGCUGAAUAGUGUAAUCUUAAAUGAUAACUUUUUGUUAUAUGUAGUUAUACUGUGCUAGAGCCAAAACCUUUUUUGACAAAAAAGGGGAAAAGGGUUACUUUUGUUUAUGUUGCAUUUGUUUAACUCUGUGAAAUUGUUACUGUGCCUGUCUAAACAUCUGAUUGUCUAAUAAAGAACUGAACAGCCAAUGAUGAUGCAGGAAAAAGGAUAGGUGGGGCUGAUGGGCAGAGAGAAUAGGAGAAAUCUGGGAUUUAAAAAAAAAAAAAGCCAGAAAAGGAGAAGGACAUCAGGGAUCAGCCACUCAGCUACCCAUCCAGCUAUAGAGUAAAAGUGAAAGUAAGAUUAUAGAAAUAAGAAAAGGGACAGCCCACAGACAAAAGGUAGAUGGGGAUAAUUUAAGUUAAGGAAAGCUGGCAAGAAACAAGACAAGUUAAUGCCAAGCAUUUAUAAUUAAGUAAAUAAUAACACACCUUCCAUUUAUUUAGGAACUGGGUGGCACCCUCCACAAAGAGUGAAACAAUCAACAAUUGGAUGACCUCAACUUAUAUACAUUUGACAUCCAUCAUUUUUCAUAAAUUUUUUGAAUAUACUUUUUUUAGAGCUACAUAGCAUCCCUUCUGUGUGUGUGAAUGUAUAAUAAACAUAUACAUUUAUAUUUA